UGGGGAAUAUUGGACAAUGGGCGAAAGCCUGAUCCAGCAAUGCCGCGUGUGUGAAGAAGGCCUUCGGGUUGUAAAGCACUUUCAGUAGGGAAGAAAAGCUAGAUGUUAAUACCAUCGAGUCUUGACGUUACUUACAGAAGAAGCACCGGCUAACUCUGUGCCAGCAGCCGCGGUAAUACAGAGGGUGCGAGCGUUAAUCGGAAUUACUGGGCGUAAAGGGCGCGUAGGUGGCUUGGUAAGUUGGAUGUGAAAGCCCUGGGCUUAACCUGGGAAUUGCAUUUGAUACUGCCUCGCUAGAGUAUGGUAGAGGGAAGCGGAAUUCCCGGUGUAGCGGUGAAAUGCGUAGAUAUCGGGAGGAACAUCAGUGGCGAAGGCGGCUUCCUGGACCAAUACUGACACUGAGGCGCGAAAGCGUGGGGAGCAAACAGGAUUAGAUACCCGUGUAGUCC
rnacentral:rRNA from 1 species